rnacentral:tRNA from 1 species
GGGAAUGUGGCUCAGUAGUAGAGUGCAUGCUUAGUAUGCAUGAAGCCCUGGGUUCAAGUCCUCAGUACCA